UACGUAGGGUGCGAGCGUUAAUCGGAAUUACUGGGCGUAAAGCGCACGUAGUCGGCUUUGCAAGUCGGGUGUGAAAUCCCCGGGCUCAACCUGGGAACUGCAUCCGAGACUGCAUUGCUAGAGUAUGGGAGAGGGAAGCGGAAUUUCUGGUGUAGCAGUGAAAUGCGUAGAUAUCAGAAGGAACAUCAGUGGCGAAGGCGGCUUCCUGGACCAAUACUGACGAUCAGGUGCGAAAGCGUGGGGAGCAAACAGG
rnacentral:rRNA from 1 species